UUGUGUCUUCGAGUCGUUGAUUUCACACUGCCGAGAAAAGCCUCUAGAUAGAAAAUAGGUGCCCGUACCGCAAACCGACACAGGUAGUCAAGAUGAGAAUUCUAAGGUGAGCGAGCGAACUCUCGUUAAGGAACUCGGCAAAAUGACCCCGUAACUUCGGGAGAAGGGGUGCUCUUUAGGGUUAACGCCCAGAAGAGCCGCAGUGAAUAGGCCCAAGCGACUGUUUAUCAAAAACACAGGUCUCUGCUAAACCGUAAGGUGAUGUAUAGGGGCUGACGCCUGCCCGGUGCUGGAAGGUUAAGAGGAGUGGUUAGCUUCUGCGAAGCUACGAAUCGAAGCCCCAGUAAACGGCGGCCGUAACUAUAACGGUCCUAAGGUAGCGAAAUUCCUUGUCGGGUAAGUUCCGACCCGCACGAAAGGCGUAACGAUUUGGGCACUGUCUCAACGAGAGACUCGGUGAAAUCAUAGUACCUGUGAAGAUGCAGGUUACCCGCGACAGGACGGAAAGACCCCGUGGAGCUUUACUGUAGCCUGAUAUUGAAAUUCGGCACAGCUUGUACAGGAUAGGUAGGAGCCUUUGAAACGUGAGCGCUAGCUUACGUGGAGGCGCUGGUGGGAUACUACCCUAGCUGUGUUGGCUUUCUAACCCGCACCACUUAUCGUGGUGGGAGACAGUGUCAGGCGGGCAGUUUGACUGGGGCGGUCGCCUCCUAAAAGGUAACGGAGGCGCUCAAAGGUUCCCUCAGAAUGGUUGGAAAUCAUUCAUAGAGUGUAAAGGCAUAAGGGAGCUUGACUGCGAGACCUACAAGUCGAGCAGGGUCGAAAGACGGACUUAGUGAUCCGGUGGUUCCGCAUGGAAGGGCCAUCGCUCAACGGAUAAAAGCUACCCCGGGGAUAACAGGCUUAUCUCCCCCAAGAGUUCACAUCGACGGGGAGGUUUGGCACCUCGAUGUCGGCUCAUCGCAUCCUGGGGCUGUAGUCGGUCCCAAGGGUUGGGCUGUUCGCCCAUUAAAGCGGUACGCGAGCUGGGUUCAGAACGUCGUGAGACAGUUCGGUCCCUAUCCGUCGUGGGCGUAGGAAAUUUGAGAGGAGCUGUCCUUAGUACGAGAGGACCGGGAUGGACAUACCUCUGGUGUACCAGUUGUCGUGCCAACGGCAUAGCUGGGUAGCUAUGUGUGGACGGGAUAAGUGCUGAAAGCAUCUAAGCAUGAAGCCCCCCUCAAGAUGAGAUUUCCCAACUUCGGUUAUAAGAUCCCUCAAAGAUGAUGAGGUUAAUAGGUUCGAGGUGAAAGCAUGGUGACAUGUGGAGCUGACGAAUACUAAUCGAUCGAAGACUUAAUCAA
rnacentral:rRNA from 1 species